AACGAACGCUGGCGGCAGGCCUUAUACAUGCAAGUCGAGCGCAUCCUUCGGGAUGAGCGGCGGACGGGUGAGUAACGCGUGGGAAUGUGCCCUUCUCUACGGAAUAGCCACUGGAAACGGUGAGUAAUACCGUAUACGCCCUCAGGGGGAAAGAUUUAUCGGAGAAGGAUCAGCCCGCGUUAGAUUAGGUAGUUGGUGGGGUAACGGCCUACCAAGCCUACGAUCUAUAGCUGGUUUUAGAGGAUGAUCAGCCACACUGGGACUGAGACACGGCCCAGACUCCUACGGGAGGCAGCAGUAGGGAAUCUUGGACAAUGGGGGCAACCCUGAUCCAGCCAUGCCGCGUGAGUGAAGAAGGCCCUAGGGUCGUAAAGCUCUUUCGCCUGUGAUGAUAAUGACAGUAGCAGGUAAAGAAACCCCGGCUAACUCCGUGCCAGCCGCCGCCGUAACAC
rnacentral:rRNA from 1 species